GUCCACGCUGUAAACGAUGGGUACUAGGUUUGGUAGGUCUUGACCCCUGCCGAACCGGAGCUAACGCAAUAAGUACCCCGCCUGGGAAGUACGGUCGCAAGACUAAAACUCAAAGGAAUUGACGGGGGCCCGCACAAGCGGUGGAUCAUGUGGUUUAAUUCGAAGCAACGCGAAGAACCUUACCUGGGCUUGAAAGUUAGUGACCGUCUCUGAAAGGAGAUUUUUUCGAAGAACACGAAACUAGGUGCUGCAUGGCUGUCGU
rnacentral:rRNA from 1 species